rnacentral:rRNA from 1 species
GACGAACGCUGGCGGCGUGCUUAACACAUGCAAGUCGAACGAAGUGGCGAACGGGUGAGUAACGCGUAAUCAACCUGCCCUUCAGAGGGGGACAACAGUUGGAAACGACUGCUAAUACCGCAUACUGAAGGAGGGGAUUGCGUCUUAUUAGCUAGUUGGGGGGGGAACGGCCCACCAAGGCGAUGAUCAGGAGCCGGACUUAGGGGGUGGACCGCCAAAUUGGGACAGGGACACGGCCCAGACUCCGACGGGAGGCAGCAGUGGGGAAUCUUCCGCAAUGGACGGAAGUCUGACGGAGCAACGCCGCGUGAGUGAUGACGGCCUUCGGGUUGUAAAGCUCUGUUAAGCGGGACGCGGUACCGGAAUAGAAAGCCACGGCUAACUACGUGCCAGCAGCCGCGGUAAUAC